CUACGGGCCGCUGCAGUGAGGAAUAUUGCACAAUGGGGGGAACCCUGAUGCAGCAACGCCGCGUGGAGGAUGACGCAUUUCGGUGUGUAAACUCCUUUUAUAUGUCAAGAAAAUGACGGUAGCAUAUGAAUAAGCACCGGCUAACUCCGUGCCAGCAGCCGCGGUAAUACGGAGGGUGCAAGCGUUACUCGGAAUCACUGGGCGUAAAGUGCGCGUAGGCGGGUUGGAAAGUCAGGUGUGAAAUCCUACAGCUUAACUGUAGAACUGCACUUGAAACUUCUAAUCUAGAGUAUGGGAGGGGGAGAUGGAAUUAGUGGUGUAGGGGUAAAAUCCGUAGAUAUCACUAGGAAUACCUAAAGCGAAGGCGAUCUCCUGGAACAUUACUGACGCUAAGGCGUGAAAGCGUGGGGAGCAAACAGGAUUAGAUACCCGGGUAGUC
rnacentral:rRNA from 1 species